rnacentral:lncRNA from 1 species
UUUUUUUUUUUACAGCUGAGUAGUAUUCCACUGUAUAUAUGUACCACAACCUCUUAAGCCAUUCAUAUGUUGAUGGAUGUUUAGGUUGUUUCCAUGUCUUGGAUAUUCUGAAUAGAGCUUUAGUGAAUGUAGGGGUGCAUGUAUCUUUUUGAAUUACAGUUGUCCCCAUAUAUUCCUGGGAGUAGGAUUUCUAGAUCAUAUAGUAAUUCUAUUUUUAGUUUUCUGAGGAACCUGUAUAUUCUUUUCCAUAGUGAUUGCACCAAUUUACAUUCCCACCAACAGUGGGGUGGAUAAGGGAUGGCUGGUAGGGAUAACAAUAGAAACCCAAGUUUAUUUGAAAACACAGCAACCAGCAGUUGCAAAUUCAUGGCCAAGAUAUGCCCCUCUAUUUAUGUCAGAGUGCCGGGGCCUCAUAUGUGUUGAGCAUAUUUGCAUCCAGGCAAUCAGGGGAGUAAGAAAAUAUGUGCCAACCAUCCGACCUGGGAACAUCCAGUCUUCAAAGUCUUGUUCCCAGGGGUGGGGCAGAGGCUGGCCCUUUGUUUUCCAGUCCCAUUCUUGUUCAGAGCACACUGGAAAACUACAUUUCCCAACCUUCCUUGCAGAUAGGUUUGGGUUAUAGGGUCUGGGUUCUGGAAAUUGGACAAGGGCACAUGAUGUGAUAAAGAUAACUGACCAUAAAAUAGCAGCACAAUGUCCAAACAUUGCCACUUCCCUUGCUUUGGAACAAAUGCAGGGGAUCCACUCUGAGAAGCCAACCAGGUGUUAGGAGCCUGUAUGCCCAAAUCACCUCAUGAAGGCUGACCACUGAAAACCUAAUUAGAAGAUGACCUAAGCAAGAAAUGUCUUUGUUUUGUGAAGGCAGUGACAUCUGGGGGCUGUUAGUUUCAUCAGUUGGAUUAUUUUACCAUAAAUAAUAGAAGGGAUCACAGCCCCUUUUUUCAUAGCUACUGCUGGCAAAGAACUCUGCUGGGCUGAGUUUAGAUAAUUAUCUGGUACAAGUGCCCCUGGUAUAUAAGAAAGGCUUGUCAUUUGUUCUUACUGCCCUUAAAAUGGUUAGGUAAGCCAGGAUUUGCCCAUGUGUUGGGUGAUCAUACCGAGCUGGCAUUAUAAUUUGGGGACAUAUAUAGGCUUCAACUGAUUUAAAAAAUUUCAUCCCACUUAGACUUUCUGGUUGUUUGGGAUUUUGAACAUUGAAUUACCUCUGAAAAUGAUGUAAGAGCUGGCUACUUUUAGCAGAAGGUGUGAUAUGAUUGAAGAGAUGACACAACAAUUCUAUAAAUGUCUGUACAGGAUGAUUUAUAUGCUUUAGGGUCAAUGGGAAUAAUAGCCUAUUGGAUGAAGAAGGAUACAGGCUCCAAAGCUAUUUUAUACAUGUGGAAUAUAUAUAGAGAAAUGUCCAGAGGGAAAAGGGCUGGAGUCCAAAGUGGAUGAGCAGACAAAAAUGAUGGUCAAGAAGGGAAUUUUCCAGUGAAUUUUUUUGAGGGGUGGCAGGGAAAGUCAAUGAGAAAAGAAGAUAAAAUGCAGAUUGUAGUCAUAGUGAUGGGACCUAGAAAGUGACAUUUUUGUGCCUAUGAUCUAGGUUUGGUGACCUUAGGUUGGUUUACUCUUCCUUAUAGAGGGGGAAGAAUGAAUUUGUUCUUGGUCCAGGACACAUAUGACAUUGAGAAAACUAAAAUGGCUGGGUGACCUCUCAAGAAGAGUUAGUGCCACAUCAGCUGAAGCAUUUGAAGUCCUUAGUCUUGUCACAUGGAGCCUUGUAGCCUUGCUUUUUGAAUGUAUGUCCAAGAAGCAGCUUGGUCACUGGUUGGCUUAUGAGUCAGAAAUUGAAACUUAAAUGUUGAUUCCAUUACUUGUUAUAGGUAUUUCCCUGAGUAAACUCUAUCACCCUUCAGAGCUGUGAUGACUACAUCCAUAAAAUGAGAUUCCAUAGAAAUUUUGUGAGAUGCAAAUGAUAAAAGAGGUGAAAACAGCUACAGCAGUGCCUGUCAUACGACCAGCAUACAGUCAUAUUUGUGCCCUUAAUUCUUCCUCUAUUUGAUAGUAAGCUCCUUGAGGGAAGAAUCAAGGCACAUUCAUGUUGCAUUGCCUCAAAGGCCUGGAACACCAUCUGGAACACUGCAGAUACUCCAUAUAGGCUUAUUCAAUGUGCAAAUGAAAGGGCAAAGGUGAGACUUUGGGGCUAACUCUUGGACCCUAAUAAAUGAAAAUAGGGACCUUUUUCACUUCAUGAAACUUCCCUUAAGUUGGUGUCUUAGGAAGACCUUAGUUUUAGCAGAAUUUAACAGACCUAAAUGACCUGGGCUGGAAAGAUCAUGUAGAAAAGUCUUAAUAGACAGUGCAAGGCUGGUGUAAUGGCUCCAUUAUGUGUCCCACUGGCCUUUGACUUUGCUGCCCAAGAUGAAGGAAAGGGAGUAAGAGGUGGUAUAUCACCCCUGCCUUUAAUGACAUAGCCAGAAAGCCACAUAUUUCUCUUCUCUCACUUCCCAUUAUGAGAGGUUCUAGCUGCAAUGGUGACUGGGAAAGGAAUUUUUAUUCCAGGUGCCCAAGUGGCUUCCAUUACUUGGCAAGGGAGACUAGAUAAUUAGAAAACAACUUGAAGUUCCUUCCACAAUCUACCUCCUCCUCCCUCCCCUCCUGUUUUUUUAAAAUAUCCACACUCACAGUAUAUGGAAAUUCCGUGGCCAAGGAUUGAAUCCAAGCCACAGUUGAGGCAAUGCUGGGUCUUUUAACACACUGCAAGGGGCCAGGGAUUGACCCACGCAUGCCUUUACAGUGACCUGAGCUGCUGCAGUUGGAUCCUUAGCCCAAUGUGGCACAGUGGGAACUCCCACAGUUUUUCUUUUUUAACACUAUUGGGAAAGUGGAAUGAUUGCUGGUCUUCUAUGCUGGACAAUGAGGACGGCAGCUACUUCCCAGUGAUGGAGCAGAGAAAGUUUAGAAGCAUCCUGAUUCCCAGAUAAAUGAAGAGCCUCCAUAUAGUCUUAAUGUGUCUUUUAUGUGUGAGAAGUAUGUUUUCUUGCAACGUCUAUUAUUUUGUAUCCUUGUUAUUCACAACUGAACCUAUAUUCUAAAUAAUGCAUAGGCUGGUCUGCAGGUGGAUCUUGGUGUCUCUGUGUGACAUUAAGGAACUUCAGCCUUUCCUCCCAAAGGGGAGCAAGUGGUCCCUCUCUCUUCUGAGUCAGCAGCUACACUGACUUCAUUCUAUUAGGCUAAAAUUUAAAUCAGGGGUGAGUUAACCCCACUAUUCUCUGGUUUACCCUCGGUUUACCCUCUUCUCACUUAUAGGAUCAGGCCUUAUGUACUUAUGUUUUAUACUAGCAGUGAAAAUUGUAUGAGGCUCUUAAAAAAAAACCCAAUCAGAAUAAGAUGAAAAACACAGUCCUGCCCACUGUAGGAAAUCUCAGCGUGUGAAAAUUCAUAUAUAUCUAAAGUGAUAACACCUCUACAAUAAGAUUGAUCUCUUUAGGAAUUCCUGUUGUGGCUCAGUGGGUUAAGAACCCAACUAAUAUCCAUGAGGAUGUGGGUUUGAUACCUGGCCUUGCUCAGUGGGUCAGGGAUCCAACGUUGCCAUGAGCUGUAGUGUAGGUUGUAGACGUGGCUCAGAUCUGGGUGUUGCUGAAGCUAUAGCUCUGACUUGACCCCUAGCCUGGGAAUUUGCAUAUGUUGCGGGUACGGACCUUAAAAAAAAAAAAGAUCUCUUUAAAAAAUAAUUUACUAAACACCUAAUCAUUCAUUGAAUAACUAAAUACUUUAAAUAGUGAUAUUUCCUUACCCAUUUAUAAUAUUGUGCCCAAAUUUCUUCAAAUUUUCACCUAAUAUAUCUGUUACAUAAAGUGGGACCCAUGGGCUCAAAGACUCAUCAUAGGUCUGAAUAGAUGAAAUGUUAUCAAUAUAACAUUGUUUUUCCCUGCUUUGACAUUAACUGCUUUGACAUUAACAGACUGUAUGAAUAACCUGAAAGAACAGUAAACAAAACAAAACAAAACAAAACACUUUCUGAAGAAAUGGUAAAGGAAUGAAAAUGGUAUUCCAGUCUGCACAAGAUCAAGACUUUCUCGUUUUUUUCCCCCCUACAUUUUACCAUAGUUUUGACAUGUCUUUUUCCCCUCACAUUUUAGAGUUCAUACCUUGUGUACUUUAUAGGUUAUACCUUGUAUAUUUUUAAUGUCAUCAAAAAAAAUCUCAAGUCUAGACAUUUUCCCUUUUUACACUGUAGCUAUGAUACCACAGAAGGUUGGAACUAAAAUAAAAUAAUUAUGAUCCCUUAAGGCAAGACCUCCAGCUUGUGAAGUAGGCCAGAUUUCAUACCUAACAGCUUUAACCUCUAAUAACACAGAGAAAUAGAAAAAGCAUCUACAAGAAGAAACCAGCCUCUCAUCUGGGCUUUUUGUUAUGAGUUCUUUUAAAACAAAACAAUACAAACAAACAAAAAACAAAAAACUGCUUUAAUGACUUAUUCCCUUUUCUUUAGGAAGAAAAUUUUCUGAAUUUGAAUGUGGCACAUUUCAUAACUUUUUGAGUCUAUUCCAUGAAUCUAUGUAGCAUUCUACUUUUUGUGAGCAGUCAAAUAACUCAUCAGCUUUGCAGCCUUAGUCUCCUCUGCAGCUCAGGCUGCCACUUCAUGGGGAGAAAGGCCUUGGCACAUGUCCAGGACCCCAUGCUAGGCAAAAAACCCCAACAUUUGCAAAGAGUAUUGAGUACCAUCUCUACUGGAUCAUGCCAGGGCAGGUGAACCAUUGAGAACCACUAUCCAGCCUCAAGUUCAGGUGUAUUAUCUUUUCUUCCAUUUCCAGAUAGGCAGGGAUUAGAAAAUUUUUUUUAUCAGCACUCUAAAUCCAAGUUUAUAGGACUUCCCUGAUGCCUUAGUAGGUUAAGGAUCUGGUGUUGUCACUGCUAUAGCUCAGGUCACUGCUGCUAUAGCACAUGUUUGAUCCCUGGCCCCAGACACAG